UAGGAAAUCUUCCACAAUGGACGCAAGUCUGAUGGAGCAACGCCGCGUGAGUGAAGAAGGGUUUCGGCUCGUAAAGCUCUGUUGUUAAAGAAGAACAUAUCUGAGAGUAACUGUUCAGGUAUUGACGGUAUUUAACCAGAAAGCCACGGCUAACUACGUGCCAG
rnacentral:rRNA from 1 species